GGCGGACGGGUGAGGAANACAUCGGAAUCUACUUUUUCGNGGGGGAUAACGUAGGGAAACUUACGCUNAUACCGCAUACGACCUACGGGUGAAAGCAGGGGAUCUUCGGACCUUGCGCGAUUGAAUGAGCCGAUGUCGGAUUAGCUAGUUGGCGGGGUAAAGGCCCACCAAGGCGACGAUCCGUAGCUGGUCUGAGAGGAUGAUCAGCCACACUGGAACUGAGACACGGUCCAGACUCCUACGGGAGGCAGCAGUGGGGAAUAUUGGACAAUGGGCGCAAGCCUGAUCCAGCCAUACCGCGUGGGUGAAGAAGGCCUUCGGGUUGUAAAGCCCUUUUGUUGGGAAAGAAAUCCAGCCGGCUAAUACCUGGUUGGGAUGACGGUACCCAAAGAAUAAGCACCGGCUAACUUCGUGCC
rnacentral:rRNA from 1 species